rnacentral:tRNA from 1 species
GUCGUGCGGGCGGCGUACAUCGCUCCGCUGCUGGCGGGGCUGCGGCGACGGGCACGGCGCAGCGCACAGUUCAAGCCGAGGCUCGACG